UGUCUUUUCAUUUCAGAAAAGUUUCCUUUUUCGCUGUCUGUUCAUCACCCAAAUCACAAGAAGCCAAAAAAAGCCUGAAGAAAAAAUUUGUAACAAAAAAAAAAAAGCAAUAAAACUUAGCUCAAUCAUAACCAAAAAUCAAACAAUUUUCUUUAAAAAAAUAUUACAUAAAAAUAUUAAGGUCCAUUUUGGUAUAUUCCACCCAAAAAUCCAAUUCUAUUAACAAACUCAAAAUCAUCUAACAUUCUUCAAAAACCAACAAAAAAAAACCCAAGCCCAUUUCAGCUCUGACUUCAAAGAUUUUUAUUUUUUUUGCAGCUGAAAAUUUUAGCAAAAUUCAAGUCUUGGGUCAUUUUGUUUUCAAUCGGAUCUGAUUAUGUUGAAGUUCAAAUCUUGAUUUGACACCUGGAAGCAGGCCUUGGAAUUUGCAAUAAAUCAUUAGCUUUUUUGUUGAGUUAUAAUGGAUUUGGAUGAUUUCAGAGCAGUUCUUGAAACAGCUGAUGUUGAUGUGUGGACUUUUAUAGAUACGGCAAUCCUGGUAGCCUCUUUGGAUUAUGGUCAAGAGUUGAAGCGAAGGAGAGAUGGGAUUGUGGAGAGGCUUUAUGCUACUUCUAUGGUUACUAGAUGUAAAAGCUGUGAUUUUGUUGAGAGAUCAAAUGGAUAUCAAGUUAAUAAAGAAGACGGCCUCCAUGAAGGUAAAGGAGGAGAAGUAGGCAAAGGGUCACCUUUUACACCUCAAUUGGAUAAUGAAGAUGAUGAUUUGGACUCUUAUGGAGGCUUGCUUGAUGAUGAGCAAAAAAGGGUUCUUGAGAUUAAGGAGCUUCUUGAAGUACCUGAUCAGUCUGAAGAUUCUUUGGUUGAUUUGCUUCAAAGCUUGGCAGAUAUGGAUAUAACAUUUCAAGCUCUCAAGGAGACUGAUAUUGGGAGACAUGUGAACAAAUUUAGGAAGCAUUCAUCAAAUGAUGUUAGGAGAUUAGUGAAGCAACUUGUCAGGAAAUGGAAAGAGAUUGUAGAUGAAUGGGUAAGGGUGAAUCAACCUGGAGAGCUUGAAUCUGCUGCACUUAUGGUAGAUGGAGAUUCACCACAGCAAAAACUUCCUCAAAAUGGUCGUCAACAGAUGGGAGUUUUGGUUCAGACAAGAAUAAUUCAGAACCUGAAAGGAAGCCAAAGCCAAUCCCUCCACCUCGAAAAGAUCCUCCUCCUAGGCCUACUCACUCUACACCACAAAUUGUACAGCAGGUGGUGGCAAUUAAAUGGUCAUCUAUCUCUUAUGGUUGAAGCUGAGCAAGAGAGUAAUAAGGUUCUUUUUAAGUGGUUCGUAUCUUUAUUGAAUUGCACUUCAGCUUUUAUGCAAUGACCCCAACUGAUGGGAGAAAGUAGCCUUCAGCUUGUUAUGCCAGAUUCUGCUGCUAAUGGGUCAACCCGCUAUUGAGUAAAGUUUUAUACUUUCUUUAAAAUCCCCCCCUUGAUUGCCUAUAAUCACCACUUGUAAACCUCCUGCUUAAGUUGGUCCAUGGCUGGACCUUUUCUUACAUCCUAACAUGGUAUAAAUCUAUUUUAAUUGUUGACCAGUUUAUAAGUGUGUGCCAUUCUUUUUAUUAGUAAGCUGAGUCUCCCACAAAAUUGUGCAGGUCUGCUUUAUUGACCUUAACCUAUCCAUAUGGCAUGCCAUUACACUUUACUUUUGAAUCUUAGAAUUCAAUGAGGGUAAGCUUUUCAGGAUAAGUUUGAAAAUUAAACUUUCAACAACGAAGAUGCAAAGAGUAGUUUCACAUCAUUUUUUUAGAGUUAUAAUGUUGAUGCUACAUUCUUAAGGUCAAUGACUAAAAACUUGUAAUCUUGGUCACCGGAACUACUUGAGUUGAACUGUAUCUAGAUGGUGUUAAUUUGAACUGUAUCUAGACGGUGUUAAUCCUUAUGCAUUUUAUCUAAGAUUCCUGAUAUUAUGAACUUUUGGAUUUUACUUUAGCUCUUGCUUGUCCCGUCCUGCUAAGUCAUGCUCGGUUUAAAUGGCAAAUGUACUCCCUGGAUCCCUCCAAUCAUUGAGUCUUACUGAAUGAGUUGUGAUCCAUCUGAGUUACUGGAUUAAGAGAUUUCUGAGAUUGCAGGCAUUGUAAAUAGGGCAUAAGUUUCUUCCUUGCUGUUCUUCUACAUUUGCUUGUGUUCCAUCAAACCUUGUUCGUCACUUAUGACGAACUGAUAAGUAAGCUCAAAUGCUUUGAAAGGCCUGAUGGAACUUGAAAGGUUCAAAUUUCUGUUCCUUAUAUUCUUCAACAUGCCAUGAAUGUUGAUUUUGUAUUUGUUCAUACCACAUUUGCCUGUAAACUCACUAGAUGAAUGAUAAAACAUUGCUUUUUUGACAUUAUGGAGUACUAGUGCUGAAUCCUUGAUAUGAUGCAGGAAUGCAUGACAUAGCCUUGCUUCAAAUAAAUUUUUUAAUUUUACAUUUAUUUACCACAAGAGAAAAAGAUAACAUGUUUUUAGCUUUCAUGGCCUUGAAAUUGCUAAAUCCUUUCUUGUUUUACAGUGGAUGGCUUACGAUGGCAUGAAGCCUGGAUACUAUAAUUAAAGCCAGAAACAGCUUCUUUGAUUGAAACAGAUUCCAUAAAAUUGCUUGUUUCUUGAAGCUCAUAAAAACCAAUGACAAUCUUCUUUCUAUUCUGGCCUUGAUUUUAGUUGGCUGUAAAAGCAACACAUUUAACAGAUGAAUAAAUACUAAUGUACAGUUUUUGAUUAAUUACAAGUAGCUCGUCAUGUGGCUAUUAUUCUUUUCCUGCAAAAUCAAUUUAUUAGGAUAUGCAAUGUUAUCUCUUAUAUUUCUUAUCCAACGGGGGAUUGAUGUAUCCUGCUUAUUCAUUUUGAGCACUUAGUGUAACAUUCUUUUUCAACCAGUCUCGUGACGUUUUCAUUAUGAUUAUCAUCUUGCUUGCUUUCUUUUGGAAUGUUUGGCAUGGUCAAACUUUUUCAUCAUGCUUUAUUUUGACAUCUUGUUAAGUGGUUAGAUUAAUUACUCUAUCUA